ensembl:Mt_tRNA
ACUCUUUUAGUAUAAUUAGUACCGUUAACUUCCAAUUAACCAGUUUUGGUAGUACCCAAAAAAGAGUA